GAGCAUUAAAUUAAAAGAGAAAUAAACGAAAUUACCGAAAAGAUCUCAAAACACGAGCUUCGUCGAACGGGUUACACAAAUUAAACCUUUUUUUUCUUUUUUCCUUUUUUAUUUCUUCUUUUUCUUUUCUUUUUUUCUCUCUGCUGGGCCGGCCAGUUGGGCCUGCUUCUGCUGGGCUGGUGCGUGUGGGCCUAGCCUGCUGGUGCUGGCCUGCUGGGCUACACUGGGCCUGGGCUGGUGCGCAAAUGGGCCGGCUGUUGGCCUGCUACCUUUUUUUUUGCUUUCUUCUUCUUCUUUUUUCCUUUUGGGCUGCUCUUCGGGCCUGUUGAGCUGGGCUGCUGCUGGGUCGGGUUGGGUCACCUGAUCGGGUCGGGUUGGACCUGGAUCGGGUCGGGUCGGCCUGAUUUUUUUAAAAAAAAUUCUUUUUCUUUUUCUUUUUCUUUUUCUUUUUCUUUUUCUUUUUUCUUCUUUUUUCUUUCCCUAUUUUUUUUCUUGUUCCUUCUUCCUUCUUCUUCUUUUUUCUUCUCCUUCGACAGUAGCCCCUUGUGUUGCCGAUGCCGCCUUGCUGCCCGGCGGUGUAAGGCAACGGUGGUGCUCCUCCUUCUCCCCUUUCUUCUCUUUUUUCCUCAGUUUUUUUUCUCUUGCUGUUUUUUAUUCUUUUCUUUGUUGCUUGGCUUGUUUGGGUUGUAGGUAAUGGUGGUAGAGGUGUCACGGUGGCAGUGCGGCGGCGAUGGUUGCGGGAGGAGGUUUUGGGUUGCUAUUUUUUGAAUAUUUUACUGCUAUUUUUUUUUGCUGCCAAAACUGAACCCCCCUCUCUUCCUCUCAUCUUCUUCUUUUAAAUCCUUCAAUUUUGUCUUCUUUCCUUUGUUUUCAGGCGGUAGGGGAGCAUCAUUGGCCUAGGGAGGCUGCUGGAGUAGCUAGAGGUGGGUGGAGCACGCUUGGCUGCCGACUGGCAGAUUUGACAUGUCCAGGAGGACCAAAUUGUAAAGGUGUAAAGUUUUCGGGGUAAAAAUGUAAUUUUAGAAAAAUAUGGGGCUAAAAUGUAAUUUUUAGAAAUUUUAGGGGUCUGAAUGUAAUUUAUAUUUUUUGUAUUUUUUUCUGAUUUAUUAUUUUUUUAUUAAUAUUUUUAAAACAUAAAAAACAAAAUAAAACAAUGGGCCAAAGCCCAAACAAGUCCAAAAUUAAAUUAUUUAAAACCCAAUUAUCCAACCCUACCUGCCCACCCAUUGGGCCCAAUCAUUAGGCCCACAUUAGGCAAGCCCAAAAAAAUCAUAAUUUUUUUAACAUAUAUAAAAUAAAAUAAGAUAAAAUAAAUAAAAUAAAAUAAAAACACGAAGAACGUACCAGACAAAAUUCAGUGAUUACAGCUGCCCCCUUUUGCUCGUCGCUGUGAAACAGGGAUAGAGCAAAGACUAAAAAGCACUGAAUUUUGUUAGACCAUCCAAAAUUUUUCUUUUUAUUCGAAAAACAGAAAUCGAGAAUAGCUCGGCGUGCGACUCAAAGCUCAACUCACCUCUCGAAAUAUGAGUUGAUUUUUGAAAAACAGAAAUUUAAAAGAAAUACCUCAGCAUGUGUCCGAGGCUCAACUCACUUCUCGCAAUAUGAGUUGAUUUUUUGAAAACAAUUUAAAAUACCUCAGCGUGACCCGAGGCUCAACUCACCUCUCGCAAUAUGAGUUGAUUUUUGAAAAAAACAGAAAUUUAAAAAAAUACCUCAGCGUGCGACCCGAGGCUCAACUCACCUCCCGCAAUAUGAGUUGAUUUUCGAAUAACAGAAAUUGAAAAAUACCUCGACGUGACUCUAGGCUCAACUCACCUCUCGCAAUAUGAGUUGAUUUUUGAAAACAGAAAUUUAAAAGAAAUACCUCAGCAUGCGACCCGAGGCUCAACUCACUUCUCGCAAUAUGAGUUGAUUUUUUGAAAAACAGAAAUUUAAAAUACCUCAGCGUGCGACCCGAGGCUCAACUCACCUCUCGCAAUAUGAGUUGAUUUUUGAAAACAGAAAUUUAAAAGAAAUACCUCAGCGUGCGAACCGAGGCUCAACUCACCUCUCGCAAUAUGAGUUGAUUUUUGAAAAACNNNNNNNNNNNNNNNNNNNNNNNNNNNNNNNNNNNNNNNNNNNNNNNNNNNNNNNNNNNNNNNNNNNNNNNNNNNNNNNNNNNNNNNNNNNNNNNNNNNNAAAAAAUCAGCGUGACCUGAGGCUCAACUCAUCUCUGUAUUAUGAGUUGAUUUAAAAAAAAACAGAAAGUGAAAAAUAUUUCUUGAAAGAAAUAGGGUUUCAAAAAACAUCUGGUAAAACUAAAAGCCUUCUUCUUCAUUGAUUCUGUGCAGCUUUCUCUUAGUAUUCCUUGCUCUACUGGUAUACCUGUAUAUGUCAUGCAUGAUGUUAUUAUGAUAUGCACAUGUUUGUCCUAAAUGCUUUUGUGUCUACAUGAUCAUGCAAUGCACCGUGGGCUGUUUGUCACGUGCCCCACUUUUGAUUUUUGUGAGGGUCCGCAUUCAUUUCCUCAAUUCUUGACUUUUCUCUCUAGUUUUGUACUCAUCCUCAAGUUCUGUGAGUAAUCCACAUUUUCGUAUACCACCUUCCUGCCCCCUUGUUGAACUUUGUUCUUGCUUUAGGGUCAUUGUAUUUAUCAAAUUCUCAUUCAGGUAAUGUUCAACAUUCCUUUUGUUUAGAGUAUGUCAUCUUACUAUUUAUCAUUUAAAUGAAUCAAACACGAGAUGCAUGAAAAAUGGCAAAGUAGGCAUGAAAGAAAGACCUCACAUUCAUUUUUUCACAAGCAACAAACAAAGAAAAUUGACAAGGAAAAUUUCAAAUAAAAAAAAAACAUCAUAAAGAAAGGAAAGCGAAUUCAAUGGCCACAAAUGUUCUAGAUAUCUAAUGCAUGAACUUUCCACGUUUCUUCAUCCUGGAUCUUUUCGAGCACGGCUUCUUGUGUAGAAGAUUUUGAGCUUCUGAGAAUGCUUCAAAUAUUGUGACUUUGUCAUUCAACACUCCGUUCAAAUCGUCUUGCUCCUUAAGUUCGAGCCCAUUUCAUUAGGAUGCCCUUUCGGGUUUUCAUCCUAAUCCUUCUUCUUCUUUUUUUUAUCAAGACGCCCUUUUCGGGUUUUCAUCUUAAUUCUCUUUUUUUAUAUUUUUUUUGUUUUUUGUUUUUUUUUGUUUUUGUUUUUGUGUUUUUUUUAAGGCAUAAUACUUCUCCACAGCUUCUGAGUUUACUGGAUUAGGUAAUUCUUUCCCCUCUAUCUCAGUGAGAAUCAGAGCCCGUCUCGAGAAUACCUUUUUUACAACAUAUGACCCUUCCCAAUUUGGUGACCAUUUUCCUCGAAAGUCUUUUUGUAUCGGGAGGAUCUUUCUUAGUACAAGUUCCCCUUCGCGAAAUUCUCUUGGUCGCACCUUUUUAUCAUGGGCCGUGAUCAUUCUCUUCUGGUACAUCUAUCCAUGACAAAUUACCUUCAAGCGUUUUCCCUCAAUAAGAUUUAGCUGAUCAUACCGAGCUCGAACCCACUCUGAUUCUUCUAACUUUGUCUCCAUCAAAAUGCGCAGGGAUGGGAUCUCUACUUCGAUAGGCAGAACGGCCUCCAUCCCAUAGACUAAAGAAAAAUGAGUUGCCCCCGUAAACGUUCGUACAGAGGUGCGGUAUGCGUACAAAGCAAAUGGUAGCUUCUCGUGCCAGUCUUUAUAUGUCACAGUCAUCUUCCCGAUAAUCCUCUUAAUGUUCUUAUUAGCCGCUUCUACUGCUCCGUUCAUCUUCGGGCGUUAGGGUGAAGAAUUAUGAUGCUUUAUCUGAAAUUGCUCACAUACUUCUUUCAUCAUAUUGUUGUUCAAAUUUAAAGCGUUCUCUGAAACGAUUCUUUCAGGCAGACCAUAUCGACAUAUAAUCUCUUUUUUUAAGAACCUACAGACUGCAGCCUUUGUCACGUUAGCAAACGAAGUGGCUUCUACCCAUUUUGUGAAGUAGUCUAUAACCACAAAGAUGAAUCGAUGUCCAUUGGAAGCUUUCGGGGAAAUGGGCCCUAUAACAUCCAUGCCCCACAUAGAAAAAGGCCACGGAGAAGUCAUGACAUGAAGGGGUGACGGAGCUGCAUGAAUUUUAUCACCAUAAAUUUGACAUUUGUGGCACUUUCAUGCGUAGCCAAUGCAAUCCCUUUCUAUCGUUAGCCAAUAAUAAUCAAGUCUCAUAAUCUGUCUGGCCAUGGUGAAACCACUAGCAUGCUUUCCACAAAUUCCUUCAUGAACCUCCUCAAGUAUCUUUUCAGCUUCAACAGCGUCUACGCACCUCAGAAGCACUUGAUCUUUUCCCCUUUUGUAUAUAAUAUCCCUGUCAAGAACAAAUCCAAUCGCUAUUCUCCUGAUUGUUCUUUUAUCAUUCUCGUUUGCUUGCUCGGGGUACCUUUGAUUCUUGAUAUACUCCAAGAUAUCAUGGAACCAUGGUCGUCGAUCUGACUCCUCCUCAAUACUAAAACCAUUCUCCUGAUUGUUCUUUUAUCAUUCUCGUUUGCUUGCUCGGGGUACCUUUGAUUCUUGAUAUACUCCAAGAUAUCAUGGAACCAUGGUCGUCGAUCUGACUCCUCCUCAAUACUAAAACCAGUGUGCAGGGGUCUCAUAUAUACUCAUUUGGAUGGGCAUUAUCUCAGUUUCUCUGUUUACCUUGAACAUCGAAGCCAAUGUGGCUAGGGCAUCAGCCAGUUGGUUCUCUUCUCGCGGGAAGUAGUUAAAAGUCACUUCUUUGAAUUCUUUGACCAAUUUCGCAACGAGAUCGUGGUAUUUGACUAGUUUUGGAUCUCUCACUUCCCAAUCUCCACGAAUUUGAUAAAUGACUAAUGCUGAAUCCCCGUGUACUUCUAAAAUUUUGAUUUUCCUCUUGAUAGCUGCACGAAGUCCCAUGAUACAAGCUUCGUACUCCGCUAUAUUAUUGGUACAGAAGAAAUUCAAUCUGGCAGUGAGUGGGUAAUGGUCCCCUUCAGGUAAUACUAAGAUUGCUCCUAUCCCAUGCCCCAAUGCAUUUGACGCACCAUCAAAACUCAUCUUCCAUGGUUUUUCUUUUGAUGACUCGCCCUCUUUUUCUGAAAUGCACAUUAAAUCCUCAUCUGGGAAGUCAAAUCUCAAAGGCUCGUAUUCCUCCGUUGUUUGACUUGCCAAGAAGUCAGCUAUUGCGCUUCCUUUUAUCGACUUUUGGGUCACAUAUACAAUGUCAUAUUCAGUCAAUAGGAUCUGCCAUCGGGCCAUUCUCCCUGAGAGUGCAGGUGACUCCAUCAUGUACUUUAUUGGGUCCAGUUUCGAAAUUAAUUAUGUCGUAUGAUACAACAUGUAUUGUCUGAGCCUUCGAACAGUCCAAAUUAACGCACAACAAAAUUUUUCAAUUGAAGGGUACUUUGCCUCAUACUCUGUGAACUUCUUGCUGAGAUAGUAAAUUGCCUUUUCUCUUUUCCCUGACUCAUCAUGUUGUCUCAGUACGUAACCCAUUGAGUUCUCAAACAUGGUCAGGUAUAAUAUUAAGGGUUUUCCAGAGGUUGGCGGUACUAGCACAGGAGGAUUAGACAAAUACCGUUUUAACCUAUCGAAGGCCACUUGGCACUCCUCGUUCUAUUCUCCCGGGUUAUGCUUUCGAAGGAGUCAAAAAAUUGGAUCACACUUAUUGGUAAGUUGAGCAAUAAAUCGGGCAAUGUAAUUCAACCUUCCUAAAAAUCCUCUGACUUCUUUUUGUGUGCGCGGAGGAGGCAAUUCUUGUAUAGCUUUUAUCUUAUCUGGAUCAACCUCGAUACCUCUUUCACUAACAAUGAAACCUAGCAGUUUUCCUGAGGUAGCCCCAAACGUACAUUUGGCCGGGUUAAGCUUCAACUGGAACUUUCUUAAUCUUUCAAACAGCUUCCUAAGACUCCCAACAUGCUCUCUUUCUUCCCGAGAUUUGGCAAUCAUAUCAUCGACAUAAACUUCUAUUUCUCUGUGCAUCAUAUCAUGGAACAACGUCACCAUGGCUCUCUGAUACGUUGCCCCAGCAUUCUUUAGUCCGAAUGGCAUUACCUUAUAGCAGAAGGUUCCCCACAUUGUUAUAAAUGUAGUUUUCUCCAUGUCCUCUGGAGCCAUCUUUAUCUGAUUAUCACCUGAGAAGCCAUCCAUGAAAGAAAACAGAGAAUGCUUUACCGUAUUAUCCACCAAAGUGUCGAUGUGUGGGAGAGGAAAAUUAUCCUUGGGGCUUGCUUGAUUUAGAUCACGAUAAUCCACGCACAUUCGCACCUUUCCAUCUUUCUUUGGUACCGGGACAAUGUUAGCUACCCACUCUGGAUACUUGGAGACUUGUAGGAAGCCAGCGUCAAAUUGUUUUUUGACUUCUUCUUUUAUCUUUAACAUCAUUUCGGGUCUCAUCCUUCUUAGCUUCUGUUGAACAGGUUUACAUUCUGGUUUCAGUGGGAGCUUGUGGACUACAAUAUCCGUGUUCAAUCCUGGCAUAUCCUGAUAAGACCAGGCAAACACAUCCUUGUACUCAUGGAGCAAAGCGAUCAAAUCUUGCUUGGUAUUUUCUGCAAUGGAAGUCCCAAUCUUCACUUCUUGUUUCUUUUCUUCACUCCCCAAGUUCACUACUUCGACAGAUUCUUGAUGGGGUAGGAUCUGUUUCUCUUCUUGUUCUACCAUUUUCAGUAAGUCAGGAGACGAGACACAAUCUUCAACAUUUUCGUCAGCUUCAAAUUCUCCUAAACAAACAGUCUUCUCGAAAUCGAUUUCAGGACUCGUAACUGGAUUGUUUAUGCCAUGGAUAUCUGAGCACUUAAAAGGUGAAUGGAAAAGAAAACUAUAGAGGAGCAUCAUGGAAUGAUAUGAGAUACAUGGAGAGAAAGGAUUUGAAACGAUGGGGUAAUUAUGAAACUGAUGGAAAUGAAAAGAUCAUGACAAAAUGCAUCUUUAUUAAUGUUCAUUGAAAUGAUAAAGAGUAAACAUAAGCUCUUACAAAAGGAAUCCCACUAUUUAGGGGCACACAAAAUAAAUAGAGAAGUAACAUUGGGCAUUACUCUGGAGAGGACUUAAAAACUACAAGAAGGUCCACAACAGUCCAAUUGUUCAAAACAAAUCUUAGGGGACAAGAGCGUAUCAUUGAAACAUCCUCAAUUGUAUCACUCUCAUUGAGUUCAGCAUCCAUAGCUAUAGUUCUUAGACGUGUCCUGUAAGGACGACGUGAUUCCAGACUUGUGUCGCAACUGUGGAUUAUAUUGCUUUAGCCUCAGUGAAUGGUAAGUGUGAUAUGUACAUGCAAUGCAUGAAUGAAUGAAUAAAUGAAUGAAUGAAUGACAAGUGAAUGUUAGUCAUGAAUAAAUGUACAAAAAUUUUGUGUUGAUUUCAAGAUAGCCCUAUACUUAGGCGUUUCAUUAAUCAAAAGAGUCCAUUACAAAAUAUUUUGCCAAUGAAAAUGCCCCUAGUGUCUAAGUCCCAUUGUUUCCCGAUCCUAGUCAAGUCUUCAAGAUCGUUCUGACGAGCAUUCGAGGUCACACGCUCAGGAAGAUCAGAGAUGUAACCUUCCUUUAAACUGUCCCCUUUCGCUUUCUGAAUCCUCAAAGACCAAUCUCGGACUACAGUAAUUUUCUCGGUUACUUGUGUAAUCGACUCUUUCAUUAGAAACCCAUUUUUGGCAACCAAUCUCUAAUCAACACCUUCCUAAUGAGAUGUCUACGAUGCAUGAUGAAAAAUAAAAUGAAGAACAAAUAACCUUGGUUAGAGAUCACAGCAGAUAUAAACAGAAGGAAAAAGAAAAAUGAAGACUAUGGAAAAUUUAACAAAUUAAGCUAUUCAAUCAUGCAAUUUGGCGGAACAGACCCAUAUUUUUUUUUGCCCCAACAUGCUUUACAAAAACCUACCCCACAUACCAUCAAACAAUCUAUCCGACCCAAAUUAUUAAACAGACUCAAUUCAUUUGCAAAUAAGUGUAAAUGUAAAAGAAAUAAAAGGUAAGAGGCGUUUCUCCCGUGUAAUUAUUUUGGUGACUAUUCAUCGAACAGAGGUUCGGCAUGGCUCUAAUUGGGUGGCUCGUACGGUUCACUAUAUGUGGCUUCGGUUCUAGAAAGGUACUCGAAUUGUCCAUACUGUUACCUACUAAGGUAAGUACGAAGCCUCGGUUAUCGCCCAUCAUGGGCUUGCGAGUUCAAUUCGAGGGAUUACAUUUACUUAUGCCUAUGCGGAGGGACAAGUUAACUCACGAAAGCAUAAGUCAUAUGUAACCCGGAAGUAAUUACUAGCCUGUGCGGAGGGACGAGUUAACUCACGAAGGCGUAGAUUUUACUUCCACUUAAACGGACGGAGCCCGGGUAGAGAGCUCAUGUUAUGCAAAAAAUGCAAGUGCACGGUGUGUGGGGAGAAACUCACAAACCUUUUAAAUUUUAUUUUUACUAAAACAACUAAAAAAACGUAAAACUUAAAGCUGAAAAAAACAGAAAGACAAAACAAGUUAGAAAAAUAUUAAUUAAAAAAACCGAAUGCAAAUGCAUGACUUUUCAAAAAAUAAAAUUCAAGGAUCACGAUUAAAAAUUAAUUUGAACAAAGGAUUUUAAAAAUUUGACAACACGCGUUUAACAUCAAACUCGACUCUCAAAAACAUUUUGUCCCCAGUGGAGUCGCCAGCUGUAGCGACCUAAAAUUUAGCGCUGGGCGCUAAUCGAAUUGAUUGUUGAAAAUUUGAAAAUGGAGUUUCGAUUUUAUUUAACAAAGGAGUCGCCACCGAUCUUUUUUCUAGGUGUGAUCGGACACCUUCAAAAUUCUCUUUUUAGAAGAAAAAUUUAUUUUUAAACUUUUCUAAAAAAAGAGGUAAUUUUAGGUCUACGCUAAAAUCACGAGAAAAUUAGAGUUCGGGAGUCGGUUACGCGCAAGGAAGGUAUUAGCACCAUCGCGACGCCCAAAAUUGGUAUCUCGUUAAACGCAUGUUGUCUUAAUUUUCAAAAAUACGAGUUCAAUUUGAUAUUUAGUCGUGAUCCGAUUAAAACACGAGAAUUUUGAAGCACAAAUUUUUUUUUUAAAACGAAUGUUUUUUUAAACACGAGAAUUUUAGAGACACGAAAAUUCUUAAAAAACACGAAAAUUUUUAAAAACAUAGAAAUUUUUAAAACACGAGAAUUUUUUUUGAAAACAUGAAAAUUUUUGAAACACAAUUUUUUUUUUGAAAACACGAAAAUUUUUAAAACACCGAAAUUUUUAAAAACGUGAAGAUUUUUGAAACACGAAAUUUUCUUUGAAAACAGGAAUUUUUUUUAUCACCAGAAAUUUUGAAAACACGAAAAUUUUUGAAAUUCCGGAAUUUUUGAAAACUCGAGGGUUUUUGAAACACAAAAUUUUUGAAAACACGAAAUUUUUUUAUCACCAGAAAUUCUGAAAGCACGAAAAUUUUUGAAAUACGAGAAUUUUUUUUUGAAAACACGGAAAAUUUUUUUGAAACACGAUUUUUUUAAGAAGUACCAUAUUUAACACGAAUCAAUGAUAUUCAUCCCUACAUGGCGAUGAAAUCAUCGACUUAGUACCAAAUCGAUUCAACUUAAUAUUUAAUCGUGGUUCUAAUGAAACACGAGAAUUUAAAAAAACACGAAUUUUUUGAAUAUUUUCAAUUUUUAAAAGGGCGUAUCGAGUUUAACGCAAACCGGUGAUAUUCACCCAACAUAGCGAUGAAAUCAACGAUUUUAUGUUAAAUCGAUUUGUUGCCUUAUUUAUUAAAAUUAUUUAAAAAAAUUAAAAUUAAAAUUGAAUUAAAUUAAAAAUAUAAAUACAAAAAUAUAGAAAUACAUAAAAUACUAAUAAUAUUAAAACAAAAAUAUAUAAAAAUACGAGCAUUAAAUUAAAAGAGGAAUAAACGAAACUACCGAAAAUAUCUCAAAACACGAGCUUCGUCGAACGUGUUACACAAAUUAAACCUUUUUUUUUCUUUUUUCCUUUUUUUCUUUCUUUUUUUUUCUUCUUUUUCUUUUCUUUUUUUCUCUCUGCUGGGCCGGCCAGUUGGGCCUGCUUCUGCUGGGCUGGUGCGUGUGGGCCUAGCCUGCUGGUGCUGGCCUGCUGGGCUACACUGGGCCUGGGCUGGUGCACAAAUGGGCCUGCUGUUGGCCUGCUACCUUUUUUUUUGCUUUCUUCUUCUUUUUUUUUCCCUUUUGGGCUGCUCUUUGGGCCUGCUGAGCUGGGCUGCUGCUGGGUCGGGUUGGGUAACCGGAUCGGGUCGGGUUGGAACCGGAUCGGGUCGGGUCGGCCCGAUUUUUUUAACAAAAUUCUUUUUCUUUUUCUUUUUUCUUCUUUUUUCUUUCCCCCUUUUUUUUUUCUUGUUCCUUCUUCCUUCUUCUUCUUUUUUCUUCUCCUUCGACAGCAGCCCCUUGUGUUGCCGACGCCGCCUUGCUGCCCGGCGGUGUGACGGCCACGGUGGUGCUCCUCUUUCUCCCCUUUCUUCUAUUUUUUCCUUGGUUUUUUUUUCUCUUGCUGUUUUUUUCUUUUCUUUGUUGCUUGGCUUGUUUGGGUUGUAGGUAAUGGUGGUGGAGGUGUCACGGUGGCGGUGCGGCGGUGAUGGUUGGAAGAGGAGGUUUUGGGUUGCUAUUUUUUGAAUAUUUUGCUGCUGUUUUUUUUUGCUGCCAAAACCGAACCCCCCCUCUUUUCCUCUCAUCUUCUUCUUUUAAAUCCUUCAAUUUUGUCUUCUUUCCUUUGUUUUCAGGCGGUAGGGGAGUAUCAUUGGCCUAGGGAGGCUGCUGGAGUAGCUGGAGGUGGGUGGAGCACGCUUGGCUGCCGACUGGCAGAUUUGACAUGUCCAGGAGGACCAAAUUGUAAAGGUGUAAAGUUUUCGGGGUAAAAAUGUAAUUUUAGAAAAGUAUGGGGCUAAAAUGUAAUUUUUAGAAAUUUUAGGGGUCCGAAUGUAAUUUAUAUUUUUUGUAUUUUUUUCUGAUUUAUUAUUGUUUUAUUAAUAUUUUUAAAACAUAAAAAACAAAAAAACAAAACAAAACAAUGGGCCAAAGCCCAAACAAGUCCAAAAUUAAAUUAUUUAAAACCCAAUUAUCCAACCCUACAUGCCCACCCAUUG
rnacentral:lncRNA from 1 species